rnacentral:lncRNA from 1 species
UUGAUAUGAUUGUUAUCAUGUACGAAUGCAUAUGCUAAUAGGAGUGUGAUCUUGAUGAAAAGAGAGUAUAGGAAUCAUGUCAAGACGGACUCAAGCAUGAAAGGAUAACGGGUCAAGAAAAGGCGAGGAAUCGGAUACGAGCACGGACGCAUAAGGUAAGUGAUUCCGUAAUCACUUCUUAGUUGUUCAUGUAAUGUUAUAUGCAAUUUAAUUAUAUGUGAUAAUUGAGGUGAAAUAGGAAUGAAUUUUAUGAUGUCAAUGAAGUAUUAAACGGAUCUUAGUUUUGAUCCGAGCAAGGUAGGUGUGACUAAGAAAUUGUAGCUAAGUAGUGGAAUUGGUUUCUUAUGUAAGGAAAUCCUUUGUUAUUAAGGAUAGAGCAUAGUUGACUAAAAUACCCUUGAUAGGUAUAUCGGGCAAACGACCUUAGAAGUCGUUUGGAAACAAGCUAUUCGAUUAGAGUGAUGCUUUGGACAAGUAUGAAAGCGAAGUAUAGGGUUUUGUAUGUCAUGGUUCAUUUAAUGCGCAAAUACCCAUAACGGGUCAACAAUAAGCUUUUGAGCGAAAAUGGGUUAAGAGGAUGCAAGACGUCCGAUAAUUUAAUCUUUUAUGUUAGGUGCCAAUGAAAUUAUUAAAGAUCAUAUGAGAUUGAGGUCAAAUAAACAGAUUAUGAUGUUAAAUGCACGAACGGGUCAAAUAGUUAGAAAAUGGUAAUAUGUCAAAUGCACGUAAGUUAAGAAUUUCCUUAAUCCGGAGGUAGGAUUUUAAGUUAAUAUGAUAGAAUGUGAAUUUACAAGCAUGUAGGAAGAAACGGUAGGUUAAACGGGUAAACGGUUCAAAAGUUAUGCGCGUUUUAGUGCGUACGGACGACGAAACGGAACUGCAGAAAAACUGCAAUUUCUAGAGGGCGUCGCCGACGGGUAUGGGGGCGUCGCCGACGGGCUCCAGAAAGUGAAUUUUUGUGCUGACGGGUUAAUUACCUGCCUACGGGUUUUUGGGCUACGGGUGAAUGCAAGGCCCGUCGCCGACGGCCCUAGGGGCGUCGGCGACGGCCUCCCCAAGUCCCAAAAGCUAAAUUCUGGUUAUUUAAGUUGAUUUAUGUGUCGUAGGCUUCGGUUUGUUAUCCGUGGACUACGACGGACUUUCCAAACAUGAUUUUUACGUUCCUUAGAUGUUUAUGGGCUCUAAACCUAAGUCUAAGACCCAUGUAAACAUUGUAUGAUUACGUAAAGAUGUAGAAAAGGUAUGUUCGUAUGUAGUUGUGUAUGUAUGUAUGUGUAAAGACAUGUAUGAGUGUAUGCACGUAAGUAAGGUUGUAGGAAAGGUAUGUAUGUAUGCAGAUGUGUAUGUAUGUUGUAUGUAAGUACGUAUGUAUGCAUGAGCUGAUAUGUUAGAAUUUUAACGUUACGAAUUAUUCGUUUGAGGUCGGUAUGUAAUGCAGGAAUGAGUACCUCGGAUUCUUAUGAAAUUUAAGCCGAAUCCGGAACAAGAGAAGGAGAAUGGUUAUUCGAAUGGAUCAAGUUACAUUAUCGAACGUACUACACGGACUUCUUCUGCUGCUAAGGAAGUGAAGCGGACGUAGAUCGAGUCAAGAGCAAGGAUUGUACGGAUAGAUCGGUCACAUAGUUGAAGUAUAUAAUGUCUAGAAAUCUAAAUUUUAGUACGAAUGUUGUGAACCCUUUUAUAGAACGUUUAACAUUUUUAGAAUUUAGAACCUUCGUGAAAGUCAUGUCGUUAAUAAGGAAAGAAAUUUUAAAGCUCUUUUUCCGCUGCGUCUUUUCAGUUAAAGCGUGUUUAGGGCGUAACAGAAGUCUGU